UGAGUGUAUAUGGGGAAUUUUGACUGAAGGUUCUCCAUUUUGAAUGUUCUUUUCUUCAGUAAAGUAUUCACCUUCUUCCAGAAUCAUUCUCCAUUUUCCAGAGUGCUUCAGGGCAAUUAAGACAGGAGAGUAAAUUCCUUGAAAUACUUCUCAAAUAGGAACAGGGAAAUAAUGUCUUGAUUAAUGAGCUUCUUUAGGCAUUCCUUCAUAGGAGUCUUUUUCUUUAGAUACUGAAGACAAAGGAAAC